CGGGACGGGUGAGUAAUGUCUGGGAAACGUGCCUGAUGGAGGGGGAUAACUACUGGAAACGGUAGCUAAUACCGCAUAACGUCGCAAGACCAAGAGGGGGACCGUUCGGGCCUCUUGCCAUCGGAUGUGCCCAGAUGGGAUUAGCUAGUAGGUGGGGUAACGGCUCACCUAGGCGACGAUCCCUAGCUGGUCUGAGAGGAUGACCAGCCACACUGGAACUGAGACACGGUCCAG
rnacentral:rRNA from 1 species